rnacentral:rRNA from 1 species
GGANUUGGAAAUGGGCGCAGCCUGAUCCAGCCAUGCCGCGUGAGUGAUGAAGGCCUUCGGGUUGUAAAACUCUUUUGGCGGGGACGAUAAUGACGGUACCCGCAGAAUAAGCUCCGGCUAACUUCGUGCCAGCAGCCGCGGUAAUACGAAGGGGGCUAGCGUUGUUCGGAAUUACUGGGCGUAAAGCGUGCGCAGGCGGCUUCUCAAGUCAGGGGUGAAAGCCCAGAGCUCAACUCUGGAAUUGCCUUUGAGACUGAGUGGCUUGAGUACGAGAGAGGUGAGUGGAAUUCCCAGUGUAGAGGUGAAAUUCGUAGAUAUUGGGAAGAACACCGGUGGCGAAGGCGGCUCACUGGCUCGUAACUGACGCUCAUGCACGACAGCGUGGGGAUCAAACAGGAUUAGAUACCCUGGUAGUCCACGCCGUAAACUAUGAACGCUAGCCGUUGGGUAGCUUGCUAUUCAGUGGCGCAGCUAACGCAUUAAGCGUUCCGCCUGGGGAGUACGGCCGCAAGGUUGAAACUCAAAAAAAUUGACGGA